ACUUCCAACGGACACAACAAACUCUGCAAUCUUCUAUCCGCGCCUUCCACCUCAUCUUCCAGCCAUGAACUGAAACAAAUAGCGCCCAGAAAAACCCAAUCCUUCAAGCUUCGAGCUUUCAGCAAUGGAGAAUUUUACAAUCCCCUGCAAAUCAAGCCCUCCAACGGCCAUCGUUCCCCCCAAAUUUAGCAACCCAUCUGAAUUCUCACCACGACAAACCAAACCCACAAUCUCUUUUUCCAGAAAAACCCUCCCAAAAUCCACAGACUCUCACUUGAAUUACCUCUGCAAGAAUGGCGAGCUCACCAAGGCCGUCACGGUUCUUGAAUCCAUUGCCAAAAGUGGGUCGAAGGUAACUUCCACUACCUACAUGAAUUUACUUCAAUCUUGCAUUGACACCAAUUGUAUUCAACUGGGUCGGAAGAUCCAUGAGCGUAUUGAUAUAGUUGAGGAAUUGAACCCUUUUGUUGAAACGAAGUUGGUGAGUAUGUAUGCGAAAUGCGGGUUUUUGGAUGAUGCGCGCAAGGUAUUCUACGCAAUGCGUGAGAGAAAUUUGUACUCUUGGUCUGCCAUGAUCGGUGCGUGUGUCAGAGACCAGAGGUGGAAAGAGGUGGUGGAGCUUUUUUACUCGAUGAUGAGAGAUGGGGUUUUGCCGGAUUACUUUCUGUUUCCUAAGAUAUUGCAGGCUUGUGGGAAUUGUAGGAAUUUAGAGGCCACAAAAUUGAUACAUUCCAUUGUGGUUCGGUGUAACUUGAGUAGUUGUAUUCAAGUGAACAAUUCGAUACUGGCAGUGUACGCAAAGUGUGGAAAAUUGAAGUGGGCAAGGAGGUUUUUUGACGACAUGGAUGAGAAGGAUGGGGUGAGUUGGAAUGCAAUUAUAUCUGGUUAUUGCCACAAAGGUGAGACUGAAGAAGCUCAGAGACUGUUUGAUGCGAUGAGCAAAGAAGGGAUUGAACCGGGGUUGGUAACUUGGAAUACAUUGAUUGCUAGUCAUAACCAGUUAGGGCAUUGUGAUGUCGCUAUGGAACUGAUGAGGAGGAUGGAGAGCUGUGGGAUAACUCCUGAUGUAUAUACUUGGACUUCUAUGAUUUCGGGGUUUGCUCAAAACAACAGGAAAAAUCAGUCUUUGGAUUUGUUGAAGAAGAUGCUUUUGGCAGGGGUACAACCAAAUGGGAUUACAAUCACUAGUGCAAUCUCAGCUUGCACAUCUUUAAAAUCACUCAACAAAGGGUUGGAAAUCUAUUCUAUUGCUAUAAAGAUGGGUUUCAUUGAUGACGUACUGGUCGGAAAUGCGCUCAUUGGUAUGUUUUCAAAAUGUGGGGAACUGGAAGCUGCUCAGAAGGUCUUUGUUAGGAUCCCAGAGAAAGAUGUCUAUACCUGGAACUCAAUGAUAGGAGGAUAUUGCCAAGCUAGAUACUGUGGUAAGGCCUAUGAACUAUUCAUGAAGAUGCAGGAAUCAGAUGUGCAUCCCAAUGCUGUGACCUGGAAUGUGAUGAUCACAGGAUACAUGCAGAGCGGAGAUGCAGAUCAAGCAAUGGACCUCUUCCAAAGGAUGGAAAAAGACGGGAAAGCUAAACGAAAUACGGCAUCUUGGAACUCUCUUGUCUCUGGCUACCUGCAACUUGGGGAGAAAGACAAGGCACUUGGGGUAUUCAGGCAGAUGCAGGCCUACUGUGUUAAUCCCAAUUCUGUUACUAUAUUGAGUGUCCUGCCUGCUUGUGCGAAUUUAGUUGCCACGAAAAAGGUGAAAGAGAUCCACGGUAGUGUAUUGCGUAGAAAUUUGGAGUCCUUAGUCCCUGUUGCAAAUUCCUUGAUAGACACCUAUGCCAAAUCGGGAAAUAUAGCAUAUUCAAGAUUCAUAUUUGAUAGAAUGCCAUCCAAAGAUAUCAUCACUUGGAACUCGCUAAUUUCUGGUUAUGUCUUGCAUGGUUUUUCAGACAUUGCACUUGACCUUUUUGAUCAGCUGAAGAAGUCGGGCUUUAAACGAAAUAGAGGUACCUUUGCAAGUAUCAUAUAUGCAUACAGUCUUGCUGGAAUGGUAGACGAGGGGAGACAAGCUUUUUACAGCAUCACUGAAGACUAUCAAAUCAUACCAGGUCUAGAACAUUAUUCAGCUAUGAUAGAUCUUUUCGGGCGUUCAGGUAGGCUUCAAGAAGCAAUGCAGUUUGUUGAAGAUAUGCCCAUAGAACCAGACUCCUCUAUUUGGGCUGCCUUAUUUACAGCAUGUAGGAUUCAUGGGAAUCUUGCCUUGGCAGUUCGUGUGGGGGAGCAUUUACUCGACUUGGAACCAGGGAAUAUUUUGAUUCAACAGUUACUGUUACAGGCAUAUGCACUAUGUGGGAAGUCUGAGGAUACUUCAAAAUUGAGAAAGUUCGGUCGAGAUGCUGCAAUAAAGAAAUUUACUGGGCAGUGCUGGAUUGAGUUCAAGAACUCGGUGCAUAUGUACACUGCAGGUGACAGGUCGAAGUUAUGCUCAAACUUUCUAAAUUCGUGGUUACAAAACAUAGACGAAAAAGCAAAGAGACCUGAUUUUUGUAAUGAGCUUUGUGUUGAGGAAGAAGAGGGGGGUAUUAGCUGGGUCCAUAGUGAAAAACUUGCAUUUGCUUUUGCUCUCAUUGGCUCCCCAAGUGUACCCCGAAGUAUUAGGAUGGUGAAAAAUCUGAGAAUGUGUGGAGACUGCCACAGGACAGCCAAGUAUAUAUCUAUGGCUUUUGGGUGUGAUAUAUAUUUGAGUGACCCAAAGUCGUUUCACCAUUUUAGUAAUGGCCAUUGUUCUUGUGGUGACUAUUGGUAGAGAGGUCAUCAUGGAAAAUCAUCAAAGGCCAAAGUUGAAAGAUCAGGUGCAGCGAAACGGGGCUUGUUAAAGGCACGAUUGCAGCUAACAUUCAACUUCAUUUUGUAUAGUCACAUCAACUCCAAUCCGUCAACAUUUUUUAGUUUGAAGCCAAACUUAGGCUUCGCUGUAGCUCUGUAACUCGGCCGCAAGAGCAGAUUCAAUACCAAUGUUUAGAGAGAAGCCUUCGAUCCUCUUCGUUGUGCAGAACUCAGCCUGCUCCAAUUUGACCAGGCUCACCCCUGAAUAUCUAGGAGGGGGAAGCCAAUCAAGGAGCACAGUUUGCCUAGAGGAUUUGUAAGACUUUUGGGUUUAGGUUAGAGAAACGACCAGCUAUGCUACCCUAAAAAGCAUGGCAUGAGCUCCUCGGAAGCCCUCCUACUCCAAGGCCAAACUACUCAUUGACGGGUUUGGAUCUGUUUUGUUCUUCUAUUGGGUCAACUUCUCAUGAAGUCCGUUACAAACAGCAUAGUAUCCACAAAGAACAAACCUUUUCCCCGGAAUAAAGUUAAUUUCUGCGAAUGAUCUUUGCUCAGCUUAGGUCCCCUCUCUUUUUUUGGUCAAUGUUGGAGCUUGGAAUCAGAUUUCAUUUCUGUACAAACCCACUUAAUCUUUUUAUGGCAUAUAUGUGUCGUUAAUCUGCUAUCGCCAGUCCAAACCAGUCCAAUCCAAUCCAAUCCUAACCUUCGCUCGACCUACCUUAUUUGCCUUGGAUUUUAAUUUGAUCAUUGAUAGAUUACUGCAUUUAUCCUUGUUGCUGGUUGAAAGUUGAAUGCAGGCCUCUUAAGAUUUGGAAUGCUGAGGAAGCUGUGAAAUAUACAUCCCAAAAACCCAAAUCACCACCUCUCACAAGUUACUUGCAUGGCAAGCAUCCGGAUGAAGAUUGCCGAGGACAUUGCAGAGAUGGAUCAUCCAAUUUGGUUUAUGCCGAAAACGUUAACAGAAAAAUUAAGAUUAAUCAGAAGAAAGUAAUGUACAAAUUGUAUUGGUGAUCCUGUGUUUGUCCAGGUUGGUUAUGGGGUGGUAAAAGAGCUAGACGGGCACUUGUGUGGACUGGUGCCUUGGGGCGGAGGUGGCGGCAGAUCAUGGGAUGACGGAGUGUUUUCUGGUAUCAGCAGAUUCAUUUGACAAGAACAGCAGACGGUGUUUGCUCAAUCCACAUUGAGUACGAUCGAAACGGCCAAUUCAUCUGGUCUGUUAGGCAUGGAGGCAAUGGAGGAAAUUCCUCACGUCGUGUAAUAAUCCUUUA